UAGGGGUUUCAUCUGCUUAACUGUGCCGUCCUUCCUCCUCUCCCAGGCAGGAUUUCAGCUACAGCCGAUGUGCGGUGGCAGGAGUUGAUGAGUCGAGACGCUUUGUCUCAAGGCAGAUUAGAGAUAGAAGCUAUCACAGACAGCAGCACCGCCAGCCUUCAUAAGAGCUCCUCUCAUCUAGUUCAUCCCUGAACUCCGCGCAGCCCAGCCGGCACUGCAAAGACGCACGUGGGUUUGCGCGUUCCUGCGGGCUGUCCGAAGAAACGAAAGACGAAACAAAAGGAGCUGUCGGCGCUGCUCUGAAGGUCCCACGUGGGAGGGUUUGCGCCGAGGAAGGUCGGGAGCCGCGCUGCUCCCAGAGGAGCGAUGGUUUCAGGAUCCGGCCUUAGCACAUGGAAGUGGUGAAGGGCUCUGCGUGUGAGGUAUAAUGAGAAUUUCUCAGUUGGCUGGUGGUUAAACCAUGCUCGCUGCUGGUUCGAAGUCGUAUUGUUUUCUUUGGCCUGUUUAUUAAACUUCCUUAAACUUGGUCACUGUUGUAUCUGUU
rnacentral:lncRNA from 7 species